GAGUUUGAUUCUGGCUCAGGAUGAACGCUGGCGGCGUGCCUAACACAUGCAAGUCGAGCGCGGUUGUGCUUAGUAUUGAGUGUUUUAUUGAUAUAAAACAUUGAAUUCUAUGCACAACUGAGCGGCGGACGGGUGAGUAACGCGUGGGUAACCUGCCCUAUACACAUGGAUAACAUACUGAAAAGUUUACUAAUACAUGAUAAAAUAGUUUUUCGGCAUCGAAGAAUUGUCAAAGUGUUAGCGGUAUAGGAUGGACCCGCGUCUGAUUAGCUAGUUGGUGAGAUAACUGCCCACCAAGGCGACGAUCAGUAGCCGACCUGAGAGGGUGAUCGGCCACAUUGGAACUGAGACACGGUCCAAACUCCUACGGGAGGCAGCAGUGGGGAAUAUUGCACAAUGGGCGCAAGCCUGAUGCAGCAACGCCGCGUGAACGAUGAAGGUCUUCGGAUCGUAAAGUUCUGUUGCAGGGGAAGAUAAUGACG
rnacentral:rRNA from 1 species